UACGGAGGGGGCUAGCGUUGUUCGGAAUUACUGGGCGUAAAGCGUGCGCAGGCGGUUCGUUGUGUCGGCGGUGAAAGCCCCGGGCUUAACCUGGGAAUGGCCGUUGAAACUGGCGAACUGGAGUGUGGCAGAGGGGGGUGGAAUUCCCGGUGUAGCGGUGAAAUGCGUAGAGAUCGGGAGGAACACCAGUGGCGAAGGCGGCUACCUGGACCAGCACUGACACUGAGGCACGAAAGCGUGGGGAGCAAACAGG
rnacentral:rRNA from 1 species